UUUGUACACACCGCCCGUCACACCACGAGAGUUGGUUGCACCUGAAGUAGCAGGCCUAACCUUAGGGAAGGAUGCUCCGAGGGUGUGGUUAGCGAUUGGGGUGAAGUCGUAACAAGGUAUCCGUACGGGAACGUGCGGAUGGAUCACCUCCUUUCUAAGGAGUAUUCUUGUUGUUCUUUCUUCUUUGGAAGGGUUCGCGCAUGGACCUUGGAAACUGUAUAGUAGAUCAAAAAACAAACAAGAAUAAAGAACAAAGAACUCUAGUUUCUAGAGUUAGCUGUCAAAGAAAAAACAAGAUUA
rnacentral:misc_RNA from 1 species